AGGUAGUAUUUUUAAACAAACCAUCUUAUCUCGACGGCAUUAACCUUAUUAGAGGAACUUGCAAUAUAAUCGAUAAUCCACGAUAAUUUUCACUUUAUUUAUACUUAUAUACCGCCAUCAACCAAGAACAAAUUUAAAAAAUUAUUCUAAAUAAAAAAUAAAAAAUUAGGUCAAGGUGUAGUUAAAUUAAAGAAAUAGUGAGUUACAAUAAAUUUCAUUUAAGGAUAAUAUAUAAAAAUAUAAAUUGGAAAAAGGAUUUAAAAGUAAUAUAUUAGUAUAAUAAUAAUUAUAUAUGAAAAAGAAAAUCUAUGUG
rnacentral:rRNA from 1 species